AAUGAAAUUGCUGAGUAAUAUAGUGAUUCUAUGUUUUGCUUUUUGAGGAACCACUAAACUUUUCCGUAGCAGCUGCACCAUUUUGCAUUCCCAUCAGCAAU
rnacentral:pre_miRNA from 1 species